rnacentral:rRNA from 1 species
CGGUAGCACAGAGAGCUUGCUCUCGGGUGACGAGCGGCGGACGGGUGAGUAAUGUCUGGGAGACUGCCUGAGGGGGGGGGAUAACUACUGGGAACGGUAGCUAAUACCGCAUAAUGUCGCAAGACCCAAGUGGGGGACCUUCGGGCCUCACGCCAUCAGAUGUGCCCAGAUGGGAUUAGCUAGUAGGUGGGGUAACGGCUCACCUAGGCGACGAUCCCUAGCUGGUCUGAGAGGAUGACCAGCCACACUGGAACUGAGACACGGUCCACACUCCUACGGGAGGCAGCAGUGGGGAAUAUUGCACAAUGGGCGCAAGCCUGAUGCAGCCAUGCCGCGUGUGUGAAGAAGGCCUUCGGGUUGUAAAGCACUUUCAGCGGGGAGGAAGGCGUUAAGGUUAAUAACCUUGGCGAUUGACGUUACCCGCAGAAAAAGCACCGGCUAACUCCGUGCCAGCAGCCGCGGUAAUACGGAGGGUGCAAGCGUUAAUCGGAAUUACUGGGCGUAAAGCGCACGCAGGCGGUCUGUCAAGUCGGAUGUGAAAUCCCCGGGCUCAACCUGGGAACUGCAUUCGAAACUGGCAGGCUAGAGUCUUGUAGAGGGGGGUAGAAUUCCAGGUGUAGCGGUGAAAUGCGUAGAGAUCUGGAGGAAUACCGGUGGCGAAGGCGGCCCCCUGGACAAAGACUGACGCUCAGGUGCGAAAGCGUGGGGAGCAAACAGGAUUAGAUACCCUGGUAGUCCACGCCGUAAACGAUGUCUAUUUGGAGGUUGUGCCCUUGANGCGUGGCUUCCGGAGCUAACGCGUUA